CUGUUCCCUCUCAGCUUGCCCGUCAAUGGCUUGGAGCUCUUUGUAAAACUCACUCAGCGAGUCGUCAAUGUUCUUCUCUGGGGGGCAGGUGGGACCAAUGAAGGCGGUGCUUGUGAGUCCCACCUCCUUUAAAACACGUUGGACAUCUGUAGCCUCCUUGACGACAGCUUCACUCGCUUCGCUGCCCACCGGAGCAUUGCUAGAAUUUUGGCCGCAUGAGGGAGCCGCUUGAGACAUCUACACGAGCAAGAAAAGAAAAGGGGAAAAAAACCGCUCUUUUCAUUUAAAGAGUUGACGCGCUGUGGCGACCCUUAACGGGACAAGUCCGAAAGGAAAAGAAGCAGUUUCUUUCACUCGUCUCCCCCCACCCUGCAAAUUACGGUUGAUUUGAGGUAAAAUAAUUGAAUAAAAAAUAUGUAUUGUGUGCGGAUUUUUACAUGACAGUAAGCAGCUGCAUGCAGUUGCGAAGCCACCUUAUGUUAGAUGUACAGUACCAAGUAGUACUUAAUCCAAUUAGCUAAACCAAGGGAUGCUAUUAGUUGCAUUUCUUUUAAAUAUUUUACUCUAUUUUCUUUAGUUAUUACUUUUAUUAACAUAAUACUUGGUGAAAAAGAUCCUGGCUCAAUUUUAUUUGUAAUAUUUCUCUUAAAUGUCAAAUGGUGUUGAUUAUUGUCUCCUCCUGCAUAUGCAUCUCAUUUUAAUUAAUAUUCCUGCAUUGAAAGACAAAUGUCAACAUUAAUUAGCCUUGACAUUUUCUACCGUCUUUCACCCCCCUCCCACCAAAAAAAAGUCAGUUUUAAUUUCCCAGUACAAUAAAAUAGAUGUAAUAUAACUUUGUUGCUACAUCACCUUAUAUUCGAUUUGGGAAAGGAAAUUCUAUUAAGUGCAUUAUACUCUAUUAAUCAAUUUAUUUGAAAUGUAGUAUUUUUCUAUUAAUUGUAAUAUUCAACUUAAUUUUAAUCAAUUGCAUUAUUAUGCCUUAUUUGUAUUUCAUCAAAUACAUAUUUGAUUGCAACUCAUUUAUAUUAAAGCUAGACUGGCAGAAGAGCGGUAUGCCUUUUAGAUACUAACCUGUAUAUGCAUGAUUAUUUUGAUGCCUCCAUUAUACGUACUAGAGCGGCUCCAGGACAUACUUGGCAAAUAAAGAUGAUACUGAUACAGUGACUCAGACCAAUUUUUCAAAUUAUUAUUUUUUCCUUUUUAAACUUGUGGUUCACUUCUAUAAUACAGUAGUUUACAGUUACAGUGCGUUAUUGACACGCAAGGCCUGCGUAUCAAUCAUAGCGAGCUCUUGGUCGUUCACCCACUCCUCCUCGGAUGGGCCUCCAGAUAGCGGUGUCGGUGUUGGGUUGUGUACAGUUUUUACAGUGCAAAGCACGGAAGUUCUCCGAGGACAGUUGAAGGUCUUCUUGACAGAGGGCGAAGCGGCCGGGCCCAGGCGGAACAACGGCGGGGGAGACGGCACGCGAGACAGAAGGUUCCUGAGCUGUCCGAGGGCCUGUUGGAGAUGCUCUUCUUUGGGGUUGGCGGAGAAGACUGUGAGGUCUCCCGCAUACACGACGGGGGUGGGCCGGACGGAUCGGCCCCUCAGCUGCAGGUUGCUCAGAGCCAGUAACGCGCCGGAUUUCACCACGUCCGCCAGGCCGGCCUGAAGCAGGCUGCUGAAACAGCGGACCUUCACAAAGUUCACGUUGCAGUCCACCAGGUAGAAGGCAGGAGAAGCAC